rnacentral:ribozyme from 1 species
CAGAGAGGGAUAGAUAGACAAAUAGACAAACAACAAGAGCAAAAACCAAAAAGGAAAGGAACCAGAUAUUCGCAAACAAAAUCAUUUCCUCAUUUUGUUUUCGUAUGUCUGCUCUUCAACGAUUCAUACAUCCACCUAACCAGCGUGUUACUCUCAAUUGCAGGGAGGAGGCAAUUUGCUUUGACUGACACUACCUGAACGUGUUUGCUGCACUUGAAUCCUUGAAUUUGUGAUUGUAAUGAAACUACUCCUAUUACUUAAAAAA